UACGAAGGGUGCAAGCGUUAAUCGGAAUUACUGGGCGUAAAGCGUGCGCAGGCGGUGAUGUAAGACAGGUGUGAAAUCCCCGGGCUUAACCUGGGAACUGCAUUUGUGACUGCAUUGCUGGAGUGCGGCAGAGGGGGAUGGAAUUCCGCGUGUAGCAGUGAAAUGCGUAGACAUGCGGAGGAACACCGAUGGCGAAGGCAAUCCCCUGGGCCUGCACUGACGCUCAUGCACGAAAGCGUGGGGAGCAAACAGG
rnacentral:rRNA from 1 species